rnacentral:rRNA from 1 species
CGGACCGGCGCACGGGUGCGUAACGCGUAUGCAACCUACCUAUCAGAGGGGGACUAACCCGGCGAAAGUCGGACUAAUACCGCAUGAAGCAGGGGCCCCGCAUGGGGAUAUUUGCUAAAGAUUCAUCGCUGAUAGAUAGGCAUGCGUUCCAUUAGGCAGUUGGCGGGGUAACGGCCCACCAAACCGACGAUGGAUAGGGGUUCUGAGAGGAAGGUCCCCCACAUUGGUACUGAGACACGGACCAAACUCCUACGGGAGGCAGCAG